GGUUGGAAGCCCCGCCCUUCCGAGGAGUUUCCCAAAACCCUGCGCGGCCGGCUUUGACCGCGCUAAGAUGGCGACUCCCAUGCAUCGGCUAAUAGCCCGGAGACAAGCGUAAUGAAGCAAAUAAGCAACAUGUAAGAUGUCAGAAAUGCUUGGAAUUUGGACAUUGGACUUAUGAAUGCACAGGAAAAAGAAAAUACCUACAUAGGCCCUCAAGGACAGCAGAACUAAAGAAAGCUUUAAAAGAAAAAGAAAACAGAUUAUUAUUGCAACAAAGCAUUGGAGAAACCAAUGUAGAAAGAAAGGCCAAGAAAAAAAGGUCUAAGAGUGUAACCAGUUCCAGUAGCAGUAGCAGUGACAGUUCUGCCAGUGAUUCUUCAUCAGAGAGUGAAGAAACAUCUACCUCUUCCUCCUCAGAGGACAGUGACACUGAUGAAAGCUCCUCUAGUUCCUCAUCCUCAGCCUCCUCCACAACCUCUUCCUCCUCCUCUGAUUCAGACUCAGAUUCCAGCUCUUCCAGUAGCAGUAGCACCAGCACAGAUAGCAGCUCUGACGAUGAACCACCAAAGAAGAAGAAAAAGAAAUAGAGUUGCUCCAUUCAUAUUGGACUGAUGGACUGAAAACAUUGAUGUGAUUCUUGAAAGGGAAUUUAGAAUAUGUUAAGGCCAAGUAGGUUAACUGGUGAACAUUUCUAGAAUUCAAAAGUUUCUAAAUGUUUUACAUUGUAAGAGCAUAGAGAAUAUUAAUAAUGGCUUAUAGAGAGAGACUUUUAUUUGAAGGGUGAAUCUUGUUUUUUUUAUCUUUAAAAUAUAUCUCUAGAACUUAAAGCUGAAAUCUGCAAAUCUGUUUGUGUGAUGAAACUAUCUUUUCUCUCUGUGAAAUAAAUGCCAUACUUUGUUAUAUAUGUUAGUGGUAUGUAUCAGACAUAUUUUCAGGAUGGUGCGUCAGGAUAUCUGGCAGUGGAUUUCUAAUGCUUUUGGCUGUAUGUUAUGUAAGAUUUAAUAUGUUGUUACUGUAAGCUUAGGAGUUUUCCUACUAUUAAUAAAUGUGCUCUAUUUUUACAUUUAUGUUCAGAAAGUUAUCUGACUUUUUGUCCUAAGUGGUAUGUUCAAGGAGCCUAUUAAUAUAUUUAUAGUUUUUGAAUGCUGUAAGUUUCAAAUUGCUGUGUUACGUCAUUCAUUUUCUUCUGGUUCCUUAAGUUUUUCAAGUUAUCCUUUUCUGAGGAAAAUUAUUCUAGAGGAACCUAAAAAGGGACAAAAAAAUUGAAACUUCUUAGGAGUCUAAUCUUGGUGCCUUCUGUUAAAAGUCAGUGUAUCAGAAAAGAAAGCAGCCAUGUAAGAGGCUAACUUAAAUAGAAGUGCUAGAAAUAUCUUUGUGUAUUAACAUGCAAUAAAAGGUACCAUUCAAAGCAGGGGGAAAGGUAGGAAGAAGAGGUAAUUUUUACUGAAAAUUAGGGCAAUGUUGGUCGCCUUUUAUUAAAAGCUUUUUUUAAGCUUUCAUAAAGAUUGCUUUUUGCUAUUUUUGAAAAUAUGGUAUUAUAGUUUGUAUGGUAACUGGUCAUAUAUGACAGUCUACUGCAUAUAUAUGAAUGACUAGGAUUAAUCUGGUGUGUUUACAUAGGAUAUACAUAGUUGAAAUCUAGCAUGAAAGGUUAAAAAGGAGAUACUGCACAAUAUUUCUUAAAAGUAAAAUGCUGUUAUUGUGAUGAGUCUUUGGUUUAACAUCACAGUAUUCUGUGAUGUCUUUUUAACUUUUUGGAAAGAGGUAUCAUUUGUAGAAAAAAUUUGAUUUGGGUUAAAUAUAGGUUUUUAAAACUAUAAAUGUUGUCUUUUUUAUAUUUUUAUGAAAAAGCAGUAGAAAAUUACUUUUGAAGAAAACAGGCUAUUUAAAUAUUGAAAUAUAUGUAUGUUGUGAGUUUAAGGAGCCUGUAAUUGUCAGUUUUACAAAACCAUCUGUGUUCAAUGGUUGUAAAUAAAUUCUCAAAACAUCAUUUCAAAGGCUGCCUACAGAAUAUUAUCACUUGACAGAUAGAGUUAAUAAAUUACCAAUCAGGCACAUUUUAUAAUGUUUGUCUCUGUAAAGGUAAUAUUAGCAGUUAAAGAACACGGAUGAGAAAAGAAUGUGUUACAUAGGUUGCAUCACUUGCAGUUAAAUAAAACUCACAAUUUGUGCUCACAAGCUUAA
rnacentral:lncRNA from 1 species